AGCAGCCGCGGUAAUUCCAGCUCCAAUAGCGUAUAUUAAAGUUGUUGCAGUUAAAAAGCUCGUAGUUGAAUUUCGGAAUCUGUCCAUUGGUCGGGCUUCACUGUCCGUACUGGUGUGGUGGGUUCUUACCUUCUGAAUAACCAGCAUGCCAUUUAUUUGGUGCGUUGGGGAAGCAGGACUAUUACCUUGAAAAAAUUAGAGUGCUCAAAGCAGGCUAGUGCCUGAAUACAUUAGCAUGGAAUAAUAAAAUAGGACGGCAUGGUUCUAUUUUGUUGGUUUCUAGGAUCACCGUAAUGAUUAAUAGGGAUAGUUGGGGGCAUUAGUAUUCAAUUGUCAGAGGUGAAAUUCUUGGAUUUAUUGAAGACUAACUUCUGCGAAAGCAUUUGCCAAGGAUGUUUUCAUUAAUCAAGAACGAAAGUUAGGGGAUCGAAGACGAUCAGAUACCGUCGUAGUCUUAACCAUAAACUAUGCCGACUAGGGAUCGGACGAUGUUAAUUUUUUAAUGACUCGUUCGGCGCCUUACG
rnacentral:rRNA from 1 species